UACAGAGGGGGCAAGCGUUGUUCGGAAUUACUGGGCGUAAAGGGCGCGUAGGCGGCCUUCUAAGUCGAACGUGAAAUCCCCGGGCUCAACCCGGGAACUGCGUCCGAUACUGGAAGGCUUGAAUCCGGGAGAGGGAUGUGGAAUUCCAGGUGUAGCGGUGAAAUGCGUAGAUAUCGGGAGGAACAUCAGUGGCGAAAGGCGGCUGCCUGGCCCAAUACUGACACUCAGGUGCGACAGCGUCGGGGAGCAAACGGG
rnacentral:rRNA from 1 species